GAUGAACGCUGGCGGCGUGCCUAAUACAUGCAAGUCGAGCGAACGGACGAGAAGCUUGCUUCUCUGAUGUUAGCGGCGGACGGGUGAGUAACACGUGGAUAACCUACCUAUAAGACUGGGAUAACUUCGGGAAACCGGAGCUAAUACCGGAUAAUAUUUUGAACCGCAUGGUUCAAAAGUGAAAUACGGUCUUGCUGUCACUUCUAGAUGGAUCCGCGCUGCAUUAGCUAGUUGGUAAGGUAACGGCUUACCAAGGCAACGAUGCAUAGCCGACCUGAGAGGGGGAUGGGCCACACUGGAAGUGAGACACGGUACAGAGUCCUACGGGAGGCAGCAGUAGGGAAGCUUCCGAAAUGGGCGAAAGCCUGACGGAGCAACGCCGCGUGAGUGAUGAAGGUCUUCGGAUCGUAAAACGCUGUUAUUAGGGAAGAACAUAUGUGUAAGUAACUGUGCACAUCUUGACGGUACCUAAUCAGAAAGCCACGGCUAACUACGU
rnacentral:rRNA from 1 species